rnacentral:rRNA from 1 species
GGCGUCGUGCAUCGCGGCUUACGAGUGGCGGACGGGUGAGUAACGCGUGAGAACGUACCUCCUAGUGAGGAAUAAUCCGGCGAAAGCCGGACUAAUACCGCAUAUGGUGCUGAGAGCAAUCGAAGUAUUAAAGGGUGUAACUACCCGCUAGAAGAGCGGCUCGCGUCCCAUCAGCUUGUUGGUAGGGUAAUGGCCUACCAAGGCUAUGACGGGUAGCUGGACUGAGAGGUUGGCCAGCCACAAGGGCACUGAGACACGGGCCCUACUCCUACGGGAGGCAGCAACCGGGAAUCGUAGACAAUGGGCGAAAGCCUGAUCUCGCGACGCCGCGUGGAGGAUGAAGGCCUUCGGGUCGUAAACUCCUUUUAUAAGGGAAUAAGCUCCGAUUAUAUCGGGGUUGACUGUACCUUAUGAAUAAGCCGCUGCUAACUACGUGCCAGCAGCCGCGGUGAAACGUAGGCGGCAAGCGUUGCCCGGAAUUACUGGGCGUAAAGAGUGCGCAGGUGGUUUGGUAAGUUUUCGUUAAAAUGCGAAGGCUCAACCUUUGAAUCGCGAAAAUACUGCCAGACUAGAGAAAGUUAGGGGGUGCCGGAAUAGAUGGUGAAGCAGUGAAAUGCGUUGAUAUCAUCUAGAACACCCAAGGCGAAGGCAGGCACCUGGGGCUUUUCUGACACUGAUGCACGAAAGCGUGGGGAGCGAACCGGAUUAGAUACCCGGGUAGUCCACGCCGUAAACGAUGGACACUAGAUAUCGGGCUGGUGACGGUUCGGUGUCGUAAGCUAACGCGUUAAGUGUCCCGCCUGGGGAGUACGGCCGCAAGGCUAAAACUCAAAGGAAUUGACGGGGACCCGCACAAGCAGGGGAACGUGUGGUUUAAUUCGAGACAAAGCGAAGAACCUUACCAGGACUUGACAUGUAAGUGGUACGAACCUGAAAGGGUACGACCCGCAAGGGAGCUUACACAGUGCUGCAUGGCUGUCGUCAGCUCGUGCCGUGAGUGUACCUUAGUGGGUACGAGCGCACCCUAUCGUUGUUGUAUCACUCAUCGAACUGCGCGUUUACGCGGAGGACGGAGGGACGACGUCAGUCAUCAUAGCCUAUGUUCUGGCUUACACCCCGUACAUGGGGCAACAGAGCGUGCGCACUUCGCAGAAGGAUCUAUUCCUUAAGCAUUCUAUUUUGAUGAUUCGAUGCACACUGGAACGCACUGCUUUAUCCAGGUCGGCAACCUG